UACGAAGGGGGCUAGCGUUGCUCGGAAUUACUGGGCGUAAAGCGUGCGCAGGCGGUGAGCUGUGUCCGAUGUGAAAGCCCCGGGCUUAACCUGGGAAUGGCAUUGGAAACUGGCUCGCUGGAGUGUGGCAGAGGGGGGUGGAAUUCCGCGUGUAGCAGUGAAAUGCGUAGAGAUGCGGAGGAACACCGAUGGCGAAGGCAGCCCCCUGGGCUAACACGUGACGCUCAGGCACGAAAGCGUGGGGAGCAAACAGG
rnacentral:rRNA from 1 species